GGUAACACUAACUGGAGGACCGAACCGACUAAUGUUGAAAAAUUAGCGGAUGACUUGUGGCUGGGGGUGAAAGGCCAAUCAAACCGGGAGAUAGCUGGUUCUCCCCGAAAGCUAUUUAGGUAGCGCCUCGUGAAUUCAUCUCCGGGGGUAGAGCACUGUUUCGGCAAGGGGGUCAUCCCGACUUACCAACCCGAUGCAAACUGCGAAUACCGGAGAAUGUUAUCACGGGAGACACACGGCGGGUGCUAACGUCCGUCGUGAAGAGGGAAACAACCCAGACCGCCAGCUAAGGUCCCAAAGUCAUGGUUAAGUGGGAAACGAUGUGGGAAGGCCCAGACAGCCAGGAUGUUGGCUUAGAAGCAGCCAUCAUUUAAAGAAAGCGUAAUAGCUCACUGGUCGAGUCGGCCUGCGCGGAAGAUGUAACGGGGCUAAACCAUGCACCG
rnacentral:rRNA from 1 species